CCUACGGGGCGCAGCAGUAGGGAAUAUUGCUCAAUGGGGGAAACCCUGAAGCAGCAACGCCGCGUGGAGGAUGAAGGUUUUCGGAUUGUAAACUCCUUUUUUUAGAGAAGAUAAUGACGGUAUCUAACGAAUAAGCACCGGCUCACUCCGUGCCAGCAGCCGCGGUAAUACGGAGGGUGCAAGCGUUACUCGGAAUCACUGGGCGUAAAGAGCGCGUAGGCGGGAUAGCAAGUCAGAUGUGAAAUCCUAUGGCUUAACCAUAGAACUGCAUUUGAAACUGUUAUUCUAGAGUAUGGGAGAGGUAGGUGGAAUGCUUGGUGUAGGGGUAAAAUGCGUAGAGAUCAAGAGGAAUACUCAUUGCGAAGGCGACCUGCUAGAACAUAACUGACGCUGAUGCGCGAAAGCGUGGGGAGCAAACAGGAUUAGAUACCCGGGUAGUC
rnacentral:rRNA from 1 species